rnacentral:rRNA from 1 species
CCUACGGGAGGCAGCAGUGGGGAAUCUUAGACAAUGGGGGCAACCCUGAUCUAGCCAUGCCGCGUGAGUGAUGAAGGCCUUAGGGUCGUAAAGCUCUUUCGCCUGUGAUGAUAAUGACAGUAGCAGGUAAAGAAACCCCGGCUAACUCCGUGCCAGCAGCCGCGGUAAUACGGAGGGGGUUAGCGUUGUUCGGAAUUACUGGGCGUAAAGCGCGCGUAGGCGGAUUAGAAAGUUGGGGGUGAAAUCCCGGGGCUCAACCCCGGAACUGCCUCCAAAACUGCUAGUCUAGAGUUCGAGAGAGGUGAGUGGAAUUCCGAGUGUAGAGGUGAAAUUCGUAGAUAUUCGGAGGAACACCAGUGGCGAAGGCGGCCCACUGGCUCGAUACUGACGCUGAGGUGCGAAAGUGUGGGGAGCAAACAGGAUUAGAUACCCUGGUAGUCCACACCGUAAACGAUGAAUGCCAGUCGUCGGGUAGUAUACUAUUCGGUGACACACCUAACGGAUUAAGCAUUCCGCCUGGGGAGUACGGUCGCAAGAUUAAAACUCAAAGGAAUUGACGG